CGACUUGAUUGAGGAGGUUUUAAUUUAGGUCUCAAUUGGGUUUGCUACAUCACAUGUAAAUCUAUCUACCCGGCUUUCAUUCACAUCACAUGCAAACGGCACAUCACAGGCAGUUAUAAUCGCAGCGUCAAAAUAAAGCUAAACUUUAAAUAGGUGAUGAUCAUGGAUUCUAAUUAGGUCGUAUUACAAGCACAUGCACGUCAAUCGAUCAACUGGUCUUCAACUCUUGAAUUGGUUCCAAGCCU
rnacentral:lncRNA from 1 species